UGGGGAAUAUUGCACAAUGGGCGCAAGCCUGAUGCUGCCAUGCCGCGUGUAUGAAGAAGGCCUUCGGGUUGUAAAGUACUUUCAGCGGGGAGGAAGGUGUUGAGGUUAAUAACCUCAGCAAUUGACGUUACCCGCAGAAGAAGCACCGGCUAACUCCGUGCCAGCAGCCGCGGUAAUACGGAGGGUGCAAGCGUUAAUCGGAAUUACUGGGCGUAAAGCGCACGCAGGCGGUCUGUCAAGUCGGAUGUGAAAUCCCCGGGCUCAACCUGGGAACUGCAUUCGAAACUGGCAGGCUAGAGUCUUGUAGAGGGGGGUAGAAUUCCAGGUGUAGCGGUGAAAUGCGUAGAGAUCUGGAGGAAUACCGGUGGCGAAGGCGGCCCCCUGGACAAAGACUGACGCUCAGGUGCGAAAGCGUGGGGAGCAAACA
rnacentral:rRNA from 1 species